CCUACGGGAGGCAGCAGUGAGGAAUAUUGGUCAAUGGACGAGAGUCUGAACCAGCCAAGUAGCGUGAAGGAUGACUGCCCUAUGGGUUGUAAACUUCUUUUAUAUGGGAAUAAAAUGUUCCACGUGUGGGAUUUUGUAUGUACCAUAUGAAUAAGGAUCGGCUAACUCCGUGCCAGCAGCCGCGGUAAUACGGAGGAUCCGAGCGUUAUCCGGAUUUAUUGGGUUUAAAGGGAGCGUAGGUGGAUUGUUAAGUCAGUUGUGAAAGUUUGCGGCUCAAACGUAACAUUGCAGUUGAAACUGGCAGUCUUGAGUACAGUAGAGGUGGGCGGAAUGCGUGGUGUAGCGGUGAAAUGCUUAGAUAUCACGAAGAACUCCGAUUGCGAAGGCAGUUCACUGGACUGCAACUGACACUGAGGCUCGAAAGUGUGGGUAUCAAACAGGAUUAGAUACCCGGGUAGUC
rnacentral:rRNA from 1 species